UGGGGAAUAUUGCGCAAUGGGGGGAACCCUGACGCAGCCAUGCCGCGUGAAUGAAGAAGGCCUUCGGGUUGUAAAGUUCUUUCGGUAUUGAGGAAGGUUGAUGUGUUAAUAGCACAUCAAAUUGACGUUAAAUACAGAAGAAGCACCGGCUAACUCCGUGCCAGCAGCCGCGGUAAUACGGAGGGUGCGAGCGUUAAUCGGAAUAACUGGGCGUAAAGGGCACGCAGGCGGUUAUUUAAGUGAGGUGUGAAAGCCCCGGGCUUAACCUGGGAAUUGCAUUUCGGACUGGGUAACUAGAGUACUUUAGGGAGGGGUAGAAUUCCACGUGUAGCGGUGAAAUGCGUAGAGAUGUGGAGGAAUACCGAAGGCGAAGGCAGCCCCUUGGGAAUGUACUGACGCUCAUGUGCGAAAGCGUGGGGAGCAAACAGGAUUAGAUACCCUGGUAGUCCACGCUGUAAACGCUGUCGAUUUGGGGGUUGGGGUUUAACUCUGGCGCCCGUAGCUAACGUGAUAAAUCGACCGCCUGGGGAGUACGGCCGCAAGGUUA
rnacentral:rRNA from 1 species